CCCUUAGAUGUUCUGGGCCGCACGCGUGCUACACUGAGUGGAUCAGCGGGUCAGGUUGCGCGAAAGUGUUUCCUAAUCUUGAAAUCCGCUCGUGAUGGGGAUUGACGGUUGCAAUUUUCCGUCAUGAACGAGGAAUACCUUGUAAGCGCGGGUCAUCAUCCCGCGCUGAAUACGUCCCUGCCCUUUGUACACACCGCCCGUCGCUCCUACCGAUUGAGUGGUCCGGUGAGGCUUUGGGAUCUGAGCAAAGAGAGCGUUUCGCUCGUUUUGCCCGGAAAACUCAGUCGAACCUUAUCAUUUAGAGGAAGGAGAAGUCGUGACA
rnacentral:rRNA from 1 species